rnacentral:lncRNA from 1 species
GUAUGAAAUGUUCCGGAGCAUAUCAACGGCGUAUGGAACAUUUCGGAGCAUAUCAAUAACAAAUACCAAACAAAAGCUCAAACGUCGUCUUUGACAUUGCAUUCAUAUCAUUCUUAUCCAAAGCAUGUACAGAAACACAUAACCAAAGCUCUGGAUAUCAUAUCAAACAUACAGAAGGUGUAGUGGGACCACAGACAGAAUGUGAUUCAUCCAUUUCUGAAUGACCACCAGACAGAAGUCUCCCACGUUUGGGAG